GGCCCCGUAGCUCAGAUGGAUAGAGCAGCGGUUUCCUAAACCGAAGGUCGGGUGUUCGAAUCACCCCGGGGCUACCA
rnacentral:tRNA from 3 species